AUCCUUCGGUUCAUGAGCGUGAUGAUUGGGUGUUCAUGCAUUAUGCAUGAGAUGUGUUCGCCUCAAACCUUGUUGCGAUGUUGGCACAUUACCCGUCUGACG